ensembl:lncRNA
CUGCUCUCACUGAGAUGAUCUACUGCUUCCUUUUUGUUUCCACAAGGCCUGAUGCACUGCUCACACUUCCCUUAGGUGUGGCUGCUGUUCCUCACUUUUCCCUAAGAAAGAUUGGAUGCCAUCAGUGCGGGAAACAGUACAAAUUUCUUUUAGGGGGAAGAUGGCAGCUUUUGAAUAUCAGCCUCAUCAGGAGAUGUGCUCAAUAUAGACUACACACUGCCAUGCUCGUGAUCCUUGGCCUAAUCUGUGAGCUGGGAAUGAAGACAGACUUUUUGCAGUCCCUUACCAUACAUUUGGCUCAUUCAAGAGGAAAUUUAUUUUAAAAACAGUUGAUUACCUGUCUGGAAUAAGUGAACUUCAGAGAAGGCCAAGGAAACAGAGCUGAAAUACACAUCUGUUCAAAUUACAGUGCCAUGAAGUUUGUGAAAUCAUGUUUUUGUUUUUGUUUUUCUUUUUCUUUUUUUCUGUAAAAAAUCCCCAAAGCUUUUUUCCUUUUACUGAAAGUAUAAUUUUUCUCUAGAACUUAAUUAAUUGGUAUUUAUGUUUCAUAAUGUUUUUUCUAUUACUAACAUUAUAGUCUGCUGCACAAUAUGCAUGUCAGGUGUUUCUUCAUUUUGUGGGCUUUCAAACAACUGCAGUGUGGCACUUGCUGUUUAACAAGAAAGAGCACAUAAUACCCAUUGCUAAUUCUUCAAAGCAGCAGUUGAAUUAACAUAAGCUUUAUGUGGGUGUUAUGUAUUCAUCUGCACAUUUUCUGCUGCUGCUUCUGAGUAUUGCAAUCUGCUACACAUGAAAGAACUGCUACACCUAUAUGGAGCCUUACAGAAGUCACAGAUGUCUUCAGGAGUCAAUCUGCAGUGGUGAAAGAAUUACAGAGUCACAGACCCUUAGGGGUUGUAAAGGACCUCUGGAGAUCAUGUAAUACAACCCCUCUGCUACAGCAGAUUCCCUAGAACAGGUUGCACCAUUAAGAAGACAGAAAGAACUG